AUUGAACGCUGGCGGCAGGCCUAACACAUGCAAGUCGAACGAGUGGCGGACGGGUGAGUAAUGUCUGGGAAACUGCCCGAUGGAGGGGGAUAACUACUGGAAACGGUAGCUAAUACCGCAUACCAUCGGAUGUGCCCAGAUGGGAUUAGCUCGUAGGUGGGGUAACGGCUCACCUGGACGACGAUCCCUAGCUGGUCUGAGAGGAUUACCAGCAAGACUGGAACUGGGACACGGUCCAGACUCCUACGAGGGGCAGCAGUGGGGAUGAUUGCACAAUGGGCGCAAUCCUUAUGCAGCCAUGCCGCAUGUAUGAAGAAGGCCUUCGGGUUGUAAAGUACUUUCAGCGAGAAGGCGUUACUCGCAGAAGAAGCACCGGCUAACUCCGGGCCAGCAGCCGCGGUAAUAC
rnacentral:rRNA from 1 species